rnacentral:sRNA from 1 species
CGGAUGCACCUACGCCUGCGCCCUGAGGUCGGGCGCUCGCGGGCCAGGAGCGGGGAGCCGGCGGGCAGCGCCGCGGCUCGUGAGGUGAUGGCGGCGGCCCCGGCCCGGGGAGGCGGAGGCGGCGGCGGCUGCUCCGGCUCCGGCUCCAGCGCCUCGCGGGGUUUCUAUUUCAACACGGUCCUGUCACUGGCCCGCUCCCUGGCGGUGCAGAGACCAGCAUCCUUGGAGAAGGUCCAAAAGCUUCUUUGCAUGUGUCCAGUGGAUUUCCAUGGGAUCUUCCAGUUAGAUGAAAGACGGAGAGAUGCAGUGAUUGCAUUGGGCAUUUUUCUGAUUGAAUCUGAUCUUCAGCACAAAGAUUGUGUGGUUCCUUACCUUCUUCGACUUCUCAAAGGUCUUCCAAAAGUGUAUUGGGUAGAAGAAAGCACAGCUCGGAAAGGCAGAGGUGCCCUCCCGGUUGCAGAGAGCUUCAGCUUCUGCUUGGUAACUCUGCUGUCUGAUGUGGCCUAUAGGGAUCCUUCACUUAGGGAUGAGAUUUUAGAGGUGCUUUUGCAGGUUUUGCAUGUCCUCUUGGGGAUGUGCCAGGCCUUGGAGAUUCAAGACAAAGAAUACCUUUGCAAGUAUGCUAUCCCAUGCCUGAUAGGAAUCUCGCGAGCAUUUGGGCGUUACAGCAACAUGGAAGAGUCUCUCCUCUCAAAGCUCUUUCCCAAAAUCCCUCCUCAUUCCCUCCGUGUCCCGGAAGAGCUUGAAGGUGUUCGAAGGCGUUCCUUUAAUGACUUCCGCUCCAUCCUCCCCAGCAAUCUGCUGACUGUCUGUCAGGAGGGUACCCUGAAGAGGAAAACCAGCAGUGUGUCCAGCAUCUCUCAGGUCAGCCCUGAACGCGGCAUGCCCCCUCCCAGUUCCCCUGGAGGAUCUGCCUUUCACUACUUUGAAGCCUCCUGCUUGCCCGAUGGGACUGCCCUAGAGCCUGAGUACUACUUUUCAACCAUCAGCUCCAGCUUCUCAGUCUCUCCCCUUUUCAACGGUGUCACAUAUAAGGAGUUUAACAUUCCAUUGGAAAUGCUUCGGGAACUCUUAAACCUGGUGAAGAAGAUCGUUGAGGAGGCUGUUCUCAAAUCUUUGGAUGCCAUUGUAGCCAGUGUGAUGGAGGCCAACCCCAGUGCUGAUCUCUACUACACUUCCUUCAGUGACCCCCUCUACCUGACCAUGUUCAAGAUGCUGCGUGACACUCUGUACUACAUGAAGGACCUCCCGACCUCUUUUGUGAAGGAGAUCCAUGAUUUUGUGCUGGAGCAGUUCAACACGAGCCAGGGGGAGCUCCAGAAGAUUCUACAUGACGCAGACCGGAUCCACAAUGAGCUGAGCCCCCUCAAACUGCGCUGUCAGGCGAAUGCUGCCUGUGUGGACCUCAUGGUGUGGGCUGUGAAGGACGAGCAGGGUGCAGAAAACCUUUGCAUCAAGCUAUCUGAGAAGCUGCAGUCCAAGACGUCCAGCAAAGUCAUUAUUGCUCACUUGCCCCUGCUGAUCUGCUGUCUGCAGGGUUUGGGCCGCCUGUGCGAGAGGUUCCCGGUGGUGGUGCACUCUGUGACACCGUCCUUGCGAGACUUCCUGGUCAUCCCGUCCCCAGUUCUGGUGAAGCUCUACAAGUACCACAGUCAGUACCACACAGUUGCUGGCAAUGAUAUAAAAAUCAGUGUGACCAAUGAGCAUUCCGAGUCAACCCUGAACGUCAUGUCGGGUAAGAAGAGCCAGCCCUCCAUGUACGAGCAGCUCCGAGACAUCGCUAUUGACAACAUCUGCAGGUGCCUGAAGGCUGGAUUGACGGUGGACCCAGUGAUUGUGGAGGCGUUCUUGGCCAGCCUGUCCAACCGGCUCUACAUCUCUCAGGAGAGCGACAAGGACGCUCACUUGAUUCCCGACCACACAAUCCGAGCCUUGGGACACAUUGCGGUGGCCUUGAGGGACACCCCAAAGGUCAUGGAGCCCAUUCUGCAGAUCCUGCAGCAGAAAUUCUGCCAGCCACCCUCCCCCCUCGAUGUGCUGAUUAUUGACCAGCUGGGCUGCCUGGUUAUCACCGGAAAUCAAUACAUCUAUCAGGAAGUGUGGAACCUCUUCCAGCAGAUCAGUGUGAAGGCCAGCUCCGUUGUAUACUCAGCCACCAAAGAUUACAAGGACCACGGCUAUAGGUAACUGGACCUCAUUGUCACUUUUUUAUCAUGACAGUAUUUAACUUACUUUAAAAAUGUGAGGUUUGUGAAUUUUUCUCUUAAAUAAACUCUUCUUGCAAGAAAA